rnacentral:rRNA from 1 species
AUGAGUUCCUCUAGUGUGUUGCAUCUUAGCUCCACUAGUUUGCACGACUUGAUUUCUAUGCUUUCUCAUGUUGCAUCCAAUUCUUGGAUUACUUGCUCCUAUCACAUGUUUGGUUGCAACAAUGUCAUUACUUCACACAUGCCAUGUCCUUUUGCUUGUCACUUGCAUCACUUGAUUGCCUCACACAUGAUGAACAAUUUCUCUUUCGAUUGUGUUGAGUGCCACACUAUUUUCACUAUACCAUGUGCAAAUUGUGCUCGGAUUGUCUUGCACUUGCCCAAUGUGUUUAGACAUUCCAUUUUAUUUGGUGUUGUGAAUGACUCUUAUGCCUACCAUAGACCAUUCAUUGAGAGUCCUAUGCAUGCUUGUUUCCAUGAUGAUUUUCCAUGUGCUCAAUUUAUGUGCUUACAUGACAUGCCACACUCCCUUGUCACACCAUAUGCUAUGCUUGAUUACAACACUUGUUGGGUGAAUCACCUCUUGAAUGCUUGGUUUUGCCUUAAUGCCAACCAUAUUUGUUUUUCCAAGUGCUUGUUAUCUUGCUCCUUUUGA